rnacentral:tRNA from 1 species
AAGGUUUUAAGUUAAAUCAAACUAAUAGCCUUCAAAGCUAAAAAUAAAUCCUAAAUUUAAACCUUA